rnacentral:rRNA from 1 species
GCAGUAGCCACGGUAAUACAGAGGGUGCGAGCGUUAAUCGGAUUUACUGGGCGUAAAGCGUGCGUAGGCGGCUUCUUAAGUCGGAUGUGAAAUCCCUGAGCUUAACUUAGGAAUUGCAUUCGAUACUGGGAAGCUAGAGUAUGGGAGAGGAUGGUAGAAUUCCAGGUGUAGCGGUGAAAUGCGUAGAGAUCUGGAGGAAUACCGAUGGCGAAGGCAGCCAUCUGGCCUAAUACUGACGCUGAGGUACGAAAGCAUGGGGAGCAAACAGGAUUAGAUACCCCGGUAGUCCCUGUCUCUUAUAA